rnacentral:rRNA from 1 species
CGGACGGGUGAGUAACGCGUGGGCAACCUGCCUUACACAGGGGGACAACAGCUGGAAACGGCUGCUAAUACCGCAUAUGCGCACAGGGCCGCAUGGCCUGGUGCGGAAAACUCCGGUGGUGUAAGAUGGGCCCGCGUCUGAUUAGGUAGUUGGCGGGGUAACGGCCCACCAAGCCGACGAUCAGUAGCCGGCCUGAGAGGGUGGACGGCCACAUUGGGACUGAGACACGGCCCAAACUCCUACGGGAGGCAGCAG